ensembl:lncRNA
UUUAGACGUGCUUUCAAACGUGAGAGGGUGUUUCGGGACAGAUCAGACCCUUUAGCUUUUCCCGACGAGUACCUGCAUGAGAGGUAUCGAUUUACUGGAGAUGGAAUCCGUUAUUGUGUGGCACUGCAAUUUUUUAGAAGCGGCAUGUUUUUAUAUGCCGUGGGACAUGCCGAAAUUCUAAAUAAAGGCACUAUUUGCCGUUGUGUCAGAAGUGUGUUUGGCACUGAAAUCCUUGGCACACAUCUUUAUUACCUUCGCUGGCCACAGAAGAAUGUGCUUCAUCAAAGAGAUUUCUACAAGAUUGCAGGUAACAUGAAUUACAGAUUACAAAAAUGUGUUACAUUACAACAGUCACAGGAUAUACUCAGACUAUUUUGUGUUACAGCUUUCCCUAAUGUCAUUGGUGCGCUGGACUGCACACAGAUCCACAUUAAACGCCCCUAAGGGGCCCACGAGGGAGAUUGUGUCAACAGAAAAUCCUUCCACAGUAUCAAUAUUACAUGUAAAAAUUAGCCCAAAUGUAUUCUGUGCAUGACAUGUAUACUGAAUAGGAAACAUUGCAUUGUUUCAGAUGAUCUGUGAUGCUGCCUGCAUCUUUACCAAUGUGGAGGCAAAGUGGCCUGGGUCUGUCCAUGACUCCCGAGUUUUAAGGUCCAGUACCAUUUCCCAGCGACUAUCACAAGGUGAAUUAUCUGGCGUUCUGCUGGGAGACAAGGGUUAUGCCUGUGAGACAUAACUUCUCAAUCCCCUUGCAGACCCUCAGACAGCAGCACAGCAAGGAUACAAUCUUGCCCAUGCAAGAACAAGGGCCUGAAUUGAGAUGGCAUUUGGCCUUCUCAAGCCACGAUUUCAGUGUCUCCACCACCUGAAGGUCACCCCAGACAGGGCCUGUGACAUUACUGUAGUCUGCACGGUCCAACACAAUAUUGCCUGUCUGAGAAAGGAAAGGGGUCCAGCAGUGGAACCGGAGAUUGAGUGGGACAAUGCAGCUAUAUUCCCAGAUGACAUUAAUGGCAGGCUGGUCAGAGACCAAUACAUUAUUUCAGAUGAGUGAUUUCAUUGUCUUGUCCUUCUCCAAUAAAGGAUUGUUUGUGUUACUCCUUCAUUAGGCCUAAUGUUUUGUUCGAUAUUAUAGUAGCUUACUU